UCUACCAGAUUGAAUCCUCCCAAUUGGUUACAAAACACAUGUAAACUGAACAAUACAGCCUUCUAAAAGCAGUCUCUGUAUGGGUAUCUUUCCAUCAUCUUUAUCCACUGUACUGUAUGUAGGCCUACCUAGUUAUUGUGCGCCUGUUCUCUCUACCCUAUCUCCUUCAUUGUUAACCACCCUAUAUAGCUACACUUAUCACCCUCCUUUUUUCUCUCCCUCUCCAUCUUUAUUCAUACCAAGUAUCUAUCACUAUUGCUCCCCUUUUUCACUCCAUCGUAAUUCACCCUAAGUAUCUCUCCCUCUAUCCCACCCUUUACUCCCCUGGUGUGUGUGUCAGACAGGGUGCUGUGUGCAGUACUAGCAUGGUUGCUAGGCCCACCAGGCAGGAUGGGUGGUGCUCUCUCUGUUUUGUGUCUCUGCAGUGUGUUAUUAAAGGGAUGGAUGGUGUGUGCCUAGUGCUUGUACAGACACCCUUCCUCCUUGUUCUUUAGAUGAACCGUGGAGGAAGGGGAGAGAGAGAAACAGGGGAAAGACAGAGGGAGGUAAAGAGAUGCAUGGGUAGGGGAGAGGAUGAGAGAGGCUGGGCUGGGCUGGGGAUGAGGGCAGAGGGAGCAGAGGCAGCAUGUGGCUGGUGCUACAGUGUGGAGCUCCUUUAUACAGUGGUGAAGCUCUGCUCUCCUGGGACACAGCAUGCAGCUCAGUUUGGACCAGGAUGGACUAGACAACUGUGGGGAAGCAGGCCAUGUCUCAUAAUGCGUUAUGUCUAUUCCUCUGUAUUUAGAGCAGCCAGGUCACACCAAAUCCACUUCAGUAUUCAACAUGUGUCGGGGUCCCCAGGAUGUCAGGAGAUGCCUUCAAUACCGGUCACUAGGGGCAACGUAAGCACCUAUUACCAUAGAGGAAUGGCUUAAACCACGCUACGACUCCGAUGAUCGCGGGUUCAAUCCCGGUGCUAGACACUCGUUUAAAUGUUUUCUGUUUCAACCCUGUCCCUUACCUUAUCCAGUUUGAAUUCAUGUUUAACUUAAAGGGACAUUUCACCCUGGCUCUGCAUAUAGUCAUUACUAUGUUAACAACAUUACAUUUUUGUCAUAAACAUAAACAAUGAUCCAUACCACAAGCAUUUCACUGGUAGUCAGGAAGUUUUGACUUCCUGUGUAUUUGUCUGCUCAUAUGGAACCACAAAGUCCGACAUUCAUAGCGAAUGCAGAUACCGCUCCGCUAGGUAGAUGGGGCGUGCCCACCAACUUGGAUUUAGAUGGUGUUGUUACUUCGAAAGAACAACACACAGUAAUCUCAGUACUUCUCUAUACCAGAUUUCUUGGGGAAAUGUUUGAUAACGUUUGUCAUCAUGCCAGUGUGGUGUGCUGUUGUAAUUAAAAAUGAGUUAUCUUUCACCGUUCUACCUACCAGAGAUUUACCCUGAUGCUUCCAGUGGCUUGUGGCUAUGAGGAAUGAUGUUUACGGUGACCAAAGAUUAUCAGAUGGAUUGUUUUAGGCUGAAUUGAUGGGGAAUUCAUUUCGACGCCAGCUUUUUUUCCUUCACAACAAAACAGAAGAUUCUCAAUUUAAGAAUCCACCAGGAUGAUUUUCCAACCGCUGGCUCUCCACAAGGUGAAGGUCCUGCUGAAAUAUACACGAGCAUGAGGGAGCGGACACACCUUGCAGUUAUAGAGCACCACAAGACUGUGGGACAGAAACCACCUAGGGACACUGAAAGGAGAUGUGCAGUACCAGCAAAUCUUCUGCAAGAGAUCCAAACAGUUGGUGUUUAAGAAGGUCUACGAGCCCUGCACUCACCACUUCUGGCAGAGUCUUAUCCAGCUGGCUGUACGCCGCAGACAGGACAAGACCAUUCACCACAAGCACAAAGAGUCUCAGCUUCCCCAGCCCACCAUGCCAAACACCAUUGCCAGUGUACCGAAGCCGGAUAAAGGACAGUGUGGCUCAACAUAAGACCAUGUAGAACCACCAUAAAAUAAAUACAGAUAUUUUCUAUUAAUCUUAAAAAUGUGUCUGCCUUUAUGGAUUCACAGAAUGUUUGUAUUUAAGUUAUACAGGGCUUUAUAGCAUCAAACAGAUGUUAAAGCUGGUUUACAGUCCGUAUAUUGACAUGCCUGUAGACAAUUGUCGUAGCAACAUCAUGAACAUUCUAUUGUCGUCCGACAUCAAACUUGUCAUUGUCGUUCUGAAAAAGUAUAAACACAAAAUGACAUGACAUCAGCAGUCCGGUGCUCCAAAUAGCAUACUUUCUCUAUUUUAAUAAUAGAGAUUAAACACAUUUGUUUAAAAAUAUAUUCAGUAAAUGUCAACCAAUCAAGCCAGGCAACUAAAAGCAAUUUUCUAAACAAUAUAUUGGUUUGUUGCUAGCUAGUGUCUAAACGUCUAGACUUUAGUUACUUUUGAUUCAUUAUUACAGGUAAAUAAACCCACAUCAUUAUUUACAAGCUAAUGGCAAGCUUACCUUAAUAGGUUACUGCCACCGUGUGAUGAAAUAAAAGUAGGUCAUUCUAUGUGACAAUUUUAUCUGCAUCAUCUGGUCUCAGGAGGAUUUGGUCUGGUUGCUGUGGCAGUCCGGUAACCACGUCCAUUGCGACAGUUGCAGAGACUUAUAUUUUUCAUGUUUACAGAUAUUCCACCACCAGAGUAUAAACUGGCCUUUGGACAUUCAGAUAUCCCCCCCAAAAAAAGAUUUGUCAAUUUCUAAAAUACAGGUGAAUGUGCACUAUUUAAUGCUAACUCAAAAUGAGAACUGGGUGAUCAGCAGAUGAUGUGAGAGAUGGUCAUGAUGAAAUUGCCAUUCACAAAGAAACAUUCAGGAAGAAAAUACAGUAUGAUCAAUGUAGUAAAGUGUAGGGAAUAUAUGUCUGAGGUGUAAAGUGCAGACAUUUGUUGAUCAGAAAAUGAUGGGAGGGGUGUUGUCAUGAUUAACCUGCCAUUCAGCUCCUCUUGUCAUCUAUUGCUUGAAAUCUAGCAUAACGUCCAAUCUAUUGAGAGGGAUACAGUUUUGCUCCAAUGAAAACACACAGGCAAAGGAAUUGUGUUUCUCUCUAUCUAGAAUCCACUCCAGGAAGAAGCCCAGGUACCACAUAGUAUUGUCUGUAAGACAAAAAAUGAUUUACAACAGUACAUUGUUGCAUUAUUGUUUCUCCUCACUGUUAGUUAACCUAGCUGGCUGGAAAUCUGUUUGGAAUCCUAUCACGUGUCAUGCUUAUAGUUUUUAGAUUGGUUAUGAUUAUGAUAGUGGAUGCAUUUCAAUGUCAACCUUUGUCAAUUAUGUUACAUAGCUAGCUAGUAAAAUUAUUUACAGUUGUUGAUGUUACACAUGUUUGCUAACAGGUUAUAAAUGCGAGGCUUGGCACAUAGCAAGUUAGCAGGCACCAGGCAAACUAGCAAGCUAACAUUUACUGGUAAACCUAGCUGUAGGUAGCUGGUUGUAAUGUUAGUAGCUUGCUGUUCAGUAGCAAUUUCUAUGAAAAAAAUAUAUACGUUUUACAAUCAAGAUAAAAUCGAUCUCCGAUUUGUAAAAACCUCUUCUCUUUUCAGUCAUAGAUAUGGCUACCGGUAGCUGUUUAGCUAACUUAGCUAACUAGACUAGCUACCUACCUAAGUUAGUAAACAGAACAAUAAUUUGAAUGUCAAUAGAAUAUAAAAAAAAUACUCCUGUCUGGUCAGUAAUUUGUUUUUCACAAAGGAUGUUGUGUUGCGUCUGCCUCCCUUUCAACAAAGCCUGUAUUGGGGGAGGGACGGGUCCAGAUCAGGAGGCACUGCACCACAGGAGUUGUAGUCUUUCAGAGACUGGAAAAACAAUGGUCACCUUGUAUACAGUGCCUUCAGAAAGUAUUCAUACCCUUGGACUUAUUCCACAUUUUGUCGUGUUAAAGCCUGAAUUCC